rnacentral:rRNA from 1 species
UCCAGACUCCUACGGGAGGCAGCAGUGAGGAAUAUUGGUCAAUGGGCGGGAGCCUGAACCAGCCAUGCCGCGUGAAGGCGAGUGCCCUACGGGCGUUAAACUUCUUUUGUGCGGGAGCAAUAAGGGCCACGUGUGGCCCGAUGAGAGUACCGCACGAAUAAGCAUCGGCUAACUCCGUGCCAGCAGCCGCGGUAAUACGGGGGAUGCGAGCGUUAUCCGGAUUUAUUGGGUUUAAAGGGUGCGCAGGCGGGGGCACAAGUCAGGGGUAAAAUCGCGGGGCUCAACCCCGGUCCGCCGUUGAAACUGUGUCCCUUGAGUGCGCGAAGGGUAGGCGGAAUGCGUGGUGUAGCGGUGAAAUGCAUAGAUAUCGCGCAGAACUCCGAUUGCGAAGGCAGCAUGCCGGCUCCACACUGACGCUGAGGCACGAAAGCGUGGGUAUCGAACAGGAUUAGAUACCCCAGUAAG